rnacentral:rRNA from 1 species
AUGGUAAUCAGAGCUGCCCUCGAACUCAUCCAUGGUGACAUCAUCAAAUUCCUUCCCUGUCUCGCCAUCGCUCACGCCGCCACAGAGAAACUCAGCAAGGGCAAUCAAGCACUGUGGCGCGCGACUGUGCUCUCCGCCAUUCGGGGGGCGCAGAUGGAGAAGUACCUCGACGUCAAGCAUCUGCCACUAUCGAUGCAGAUUGACGUAACCUCGUCUGAUGGCAAGACCACGGCGAAGGCAGCAAACCCGGAGUUCCAGACCUGGUACGCAAAAGAUCAACAAGUUUUCUCAUAUCUUCUAACGACUCUCCCUCGUGAGAUAGCCAUCCAGGUUGCAUCAUGUCACACUUCGGACGAGCCCUGGAAUACGGUUGAGGGUAUGCUUGCAUCCCUCACCCGUUCCCAGACCACCAACGUCCGCAUCGCCCUCGCCAACUUGUAG